UGUAUAUGUGUAUAUAUAUGUGUGUAUAUAUAUAUGUAUAUGUGUAUAUAUAUGUGUAUAUACACACAGACAAAGCUUAGGAAGUAGUGUAUCAUAGAUACUCUCAAAGGAAAUGGGAGAAUUGUCAAUACUCCUUGUUUGCUGACAUUUUUUUUUUAAACAAUAUACUGUUAAUCCCGAAUUCAUUUCACUGAAUUGUGAAAUGCACUUGACUGUAAUUUGCACCAGGUGUUUUGGUGUAAUGUAUACAAGUGUGUGUAUGUAUGUGCGUAUAUAUAUAUAGAGAGAUAUAGAUAUAUAUACAUAUACAUACACACUUGAGGACAUAUAUGAUGAAAGUGGUUUCCAGUUUUCGCAUUGCAUGUAUAUACAUAAGGCGAAAAUGGUGAUCCAGUUUGGAAGAGUGUGCUUAUUAAUUGUAUAUUCCUGCUUAGAGUAUACAUUUAAACAAGUGGUUAAAUAUAAUACAAAUUUGUAUACAUAUGGUAUUUAACUUUGCUCCAAAUGGAAAUAUUUAUAAAAAGAAAAACAAAAAAAAAAAAACUAAGUCUGAUCUAAAGAAUAUGUCCAGUAAAUAAUUUUAAGAUUCCUUGGAUGUUAUUUCUGAUCUUUAUUAAGCAGUUAUAAAGAAUUGGUAAAUCUAAAUCCUUCUGUGGUAUACAAUGUUUUGUUUUGGUUUUUUUUUUUUUUUUUUCAUGUUGAUUAUAUAUAUAUAUAUAUAUAUAUAUAUAUAUAUAUAUAUAUAAAACAUUAUCUUACAAAACCAGAAAUUAUUAAAAUGUUCCACCAUACAAUGUACUGUAUCCUGUGUACAUGUCUGUAGAUAUCAUCUACACAUUUUGUCACUGUCCGCUGAUUUUUUGCUCUUUGUUACCGACAAAUUGUGUUUUUUGCUCUUUAGCAAAGAAAUCAGUACCUGUUCUUGUAGAAGUAUGUCAGCUAAUAUGAAUAUUUUAAGACAAACGUCUACUACUAGCAGCAUUAUAGAAGCAGCUCUAGUGAUAGUGAUAAAGAGAAUGGUGCCUCUAAGAACUUAUACGCCAUUAUCUGUAAUGAAAAAAACAGAAAAAUCAAUAUACUUUUGUGGGGAAUGUAAUGAGCAAUAUUUAAAAUAAUGUAACAAAACAACAACAAAAAAAAGCACAAAAUAAACAUGAAAAUUAUAUUUAGUUAUUUUCAUUAUUACUACUACUGCUUCUAAUACUGCAAUUAAAAUACUUGCUUUGACUUCAUGAAUUAUUAAAUAAUUUUAAAAACAGAACUAAAA
rnacentral:lncRNA from 1 species